UACAGAGGGUGCAAGCGUUAUCCGGAUUUAUUGGGCGUAAAGCGUUUCGUAGGUGGUUUUGUAAGUUAAACUUCAAAGACUCGGGCUUAACCCGGGGAAGGGGUUUAAUACUGCAAGACUAGAGAAUUUUAGGGGCAAUCGGAACUGUUGGUGUAGGGGUGAAAUCCGUUGAUAUCAACAGGAACGUCAAGGGCGUAGGCAGAUUGCUGGGAAAUUUCUGACACUGAGGAACGAAAGCUAGGGGAGCGAAAGGG
rnacentral:rRNA from 1 species